CGGUCCGUUAAGGCUAAUCGAUUUGCCCGGAUCGCGGUGUCAUCGCGAUACGGCACGUUCGCCAGUUAAUCACCGUGUACCGAUAUUAUCGAACGUUCCCGACUCCGUAUACCGACGUUGCGCACGCGAACAAUAAUAGCCCAAACGUCAAUUCCGUUUUGAACGCGAAUAAUUGUAACCAGCCAACUCGGAUCCGGAUGCGGAAC